AACGAACGCUGGCGGCAGGCCUAACACAUGCAAGUCGAGCGAGACCUUCGGGUCUAGCGGCGGACGGGUGAGUAACGCGUGGGAACGUGUCCUUUUCUGCGGAAUAGCCUCGGGAAACUGAGCGUAAUACCGCAUACGCCCUUUGGGGGAAAGAUUUAUCGGAAAAGGAUCGGCCCGCGUUGGAUUAGGUAGUUGGUGGGGUAAUGGCCUACCAAGCCUACGAUCCAUAGCUGGUUUGAGAGGAUGAUCAGCCACACUGGGACUGAGACACGGCCCAGACUCCUACGGGAGGCAGCAGUGGGGAAUCUUAGACAAUGGGGGCAACCCUGAUCUAGCCAUGCCGCGUGAGUGAUGAAGGCCUUAGGGUUGUAAAGCUCUUUCAGCUGGGAAGAUAAUGACGGUACCAGCAGAAGAAGCCCCGGCUAACUCCGUG
rnacentral:rRNA from 1 species